GACGAACGCUGGCGGCGUGCCUAACACAUGCAAGUCGAACGGGGGUAGCAAUACCUCAGUGGCGAACGGGUGCGUAACACGUGAAGAAUUUGUCUAACGGCGGGGGAUAGCCGGCCCAACGGCCGGGUAAUACCGCGUACGACCUCUGGAGGGCAUCCUCUGGUGGUGAAAGCCGCAAGGCGCCGAUAGAGAACUUCGCGGCCUAUCAGCUAGUUGGCGGGGUAAUGGCCCACCAAGGCGACGACGGGUAGCUGGUCCGAGAGGAUGACCAGCCACAUUGGGACUGAGACACGGCCCAGACUCCUACGGGAGGCAGCAGUGGGGAAUAUUGCGCAAUGGGCGAAAAGCCUGACGCAGCGACGCCGCGUGUGGGAUGACGGCCUCGGUU
rnacentral:rRNA from 1 species